AUGGAGUUUUCUCUCUUCUAAUCCUGAAACAGGGUCAGACUCUGCCCUAAUGAGGAGAAGCAGCAGAGAAUGGGACUGCAUCAU
rnacentral:pre_miRNA from 12 species